UCAAGCUACAAAGGGCGCAUGGUGAAUGCCUUGGCAUCAGGAGCCGAUGAAGGACGUGAUAAGCUGCGAUAAGCUUCGGGUAGGCGCACAUAGCCUGAGAUCCGAAGAUCUCCGAAUGAGGAAACUCACAUGGGAAACCCCAUGUAUCAUUAAGUGAAUACAUAGCUUAAUGAAGGUAACCCAGGGAACUGAAACAUCUAAGUACCUGGAGGAAGAGAAAGAAAAAUCGAUUUUCUUAGUAGCGGCGAGCGAAAGGGAAAGAGCCCAAACCGGAAACUUGUUUCCGGGGUUGUGGACAUAACAUAAAAGUGGAGGCUAUUGUAACUGAAGAGAACUGGAAAGUUCCACCGUAGAAGGUAAUAGUCCUGUAAGUGAAACGAGAAGACCACGAGUUAUGAUCCAGAGUACCACGAGACACGUGAAACCUUGUGGGAAGCAGGGAGGACCACCUCCCAAGGCUAAAUACUACCUGAUGACCGAUAGUGAAGCAGUACCGUGAGGGAAAGGUGAAAAGAACCCCGGGAGGGGAGUGAAAUAGAACCUGAAACCGUGUGCCUACAACCGCUCAGAGCCCCUUAUGAGGGUGAUGAGGUGCUUUUUGUAGAACGAGCCAACGAGUUACGGUAUGUAGCAAGGUUAAGUACUUAAGGUACGGAGCCGAAGGGAAACCGAGUCUGAAUAGGGCGACUAGUUGCAUGCCGUAGACCCGAAACCAGGUGACCUAUCCAUGGCCAGGUUGAAGCGAGGGUAAAACCUCGUGGAGGACCGAACCACGUUGCUGUUGAAAAAGCAUGGGAUGAGCUGUGGAUAGCGGAGAAAUUCCAAUCGAACCCGGAGAUAGCUGGUUCUCUCCGAAAUAGCUUUAGGGCUAGCGUCGAGUAUGAGUAGUGGAGGUAGAGCACUGAAUGGGCUAGGGGGCAUAGCGCUUACCGAACCUUAUCAAACUCCGAAUGCCACAUACUUUGAGCUCGGCAGUCAGACUACGAAUGAUAAGAUCCGUGGUCAAAAGGGAAACAGCCCAGAUCGUCAGCUAAGGUCCCAAAGUGUAAGUUAAGUGGGAAAGGAUGUGAGAUUUCUAAGACAACUAGGAUGUUGGCUUAGAAGCAGCCAUUCAUUAAAAGAGUGCGUAAUAGCUCACUAGUCGAGAGAUCUUGCGCCGAAAAUGUAACGGGGCUAAACUUACCACCGAAGCUACGGGCUUGAACUUAGUUCAAGCGGUAGGAGAGCGUCGUAACCGGGCUGAAGUCGUACCGUAAGGAGCGGUGGACUGGUUACGAGUGAGAAUGUUGGCAUCAGUAGCGAGAUGUGGGUGAGAAUCCCACAGGCCGAAAACCUAAGGUUUCCUCAGGAAGGUUCGUCCGCUGAGGGUUAGUCGGGACCUAAGCCGAGGCCGAAAGGCGUAGGUGAUGGACAACUGGUUGAUAUUCCAGUACCACUACUAUCGUUAUUAUCGAUGGCGUGACGCAGGAGGAUAGUGUGUGCUAGCUAUUGGAUGCUAGUCUAAGCGUUUAGGCAGUGAGAGUAGGCAAAUCCGCUCUCAUAAUGCUGAGGCGUGAUGGGGAAGGUUCUACGGAACCGAAGUACAUGAUUCCACGCUGCCAAGAAAAGCGUCUAGAGAGAGAAGUAGUGCCCGUACCGCAAACCGACACAGGUAGGUGAGGAGAGAAUCCUAAGGCCGGCGGAAGAAUUACAGUUAAGGAACUCGGCAAAUUGACCCCGUAAGUUCGCGAGAAGGGGUGCCUACGAGAGUAGGCCGCAGAGAAUAGGCCCAAGCAACUGUUUAGCAAAAACACAGGUCUCUGCUAAAGCGUAAGCUGAUGUAUAGGGGCUGACGCCUGCCCGGUGCUGGAAGGUUAAGGGGAACACUUAGCGCAAGCGAAGGUGUGAACUUAAGCCCCAGUAAACGGCGGCCGUAACUAUAACGGUCCUAAGGUAGCGAAAUUCCUUGUCAGGUAAGUUCUGACCCGCACGAAUGGCGUAAUGACUUGGGCACUGUCUCAACUGUAAAUCCGGCGAAGUUGUAGUGCGAGUGAAGAUGCUCGCUACCCGCGAUUGGACGGAAAGACCCCGUAGAGCUUUACUGUAGCUUAGCAUUGAGUUUUGGUAUUGUCUGUACAGGAUAGGUGGGAGACUAGGAAACCAGGGCGUCAGCCUUGGUGGAGUCAACCUUGGGAUACCACCCUGACAGUACUGAAAUUCUAACUGGCGGCCAUGAAUCUGGUCACAGGACAUUGUUAGGUGGGCAGUUUGACUGGGGCGGUCGCCUCCUAAAAAGUAACGGAGGCGCCCAAAGGUUCCCUCAGAACGGUCGGAAAUCGUUCGAAGAGUGCAAAGGCAGAAGGGAGCCUGACUGCGACACCCACAAGUGGAGCAGGGACGAAAGUCGGGCUUAGUGAUCCGGUGGUACCUCGUGGGAGGGCCAUCGCUCAACGGAUAAAAGCUACCUCGGGGAUAACAGGCUGAUCUCCCCCAAGAGUCCACAUCGACGGGGAGGUUUGGCACCUCGAUGUCGGCUCGUCGCAUCCUGGGGCUGAAGUAGGUCCCAAGGGUUGGGCUGUUCGCCCAUUAAAGCGGCACGCGAGCUGGGUUCAGAACGUCGUGAGACAGUUCGGUCCCUAUCCGUCGCGGGCGUAGGAAAUUUGAGAGGAGCUGUCCUUAGUACGAGAGGACCGGGAUGGACUGACCUCUGGUGUACCAGUUGUUCCGCCAGGAGCACAGCUGGGUAGCUAAGUCGGGAAUGGAUAAACGCUGAAAGCAUCUAAGCGUGAAGCCAACCUCAAGAUGAGAUUUCCCAUAGCAUAAGCUAGUAAGAUCCCUUGAAGAACACAAGGUUGAUAGGUCGGGGGUGUAAGCAUGGUAACAUGUUCAGCUGACCGAUACUAAUAGAUCGAGGGCUUGACCAA
rnacentral:rRNA from 1 species